rnacentral:lncRNA from 1 species
GGAGAUCAGAGAUUGCUGGAUUAACUCAGGUAAGGGGGGUUUAUCAUCGGUUAAAGGGCAUUAUGUGAUAAUAUGUACUGGGUAGUGAUAACCAUUGUUUUACCUCUGAUUAGAUUGAUGCAUGAUGAAUUUGUGAACUUUUUGGAUAAACGAAAUUGGGGUAUAAUUGAGAAAGAAUUCGUAGGAAUUAGAUGUAAAAGUGUCAGAUUUUGUGUAAUCGAAUAAGAUAUGAAUUGUG